rnacentral:tRNA from 1 species
GGAGGGGUACCCGAGUGGCCAAAGGGGGCAGACUGUAAAUCUGCUGGCGACGCCUUCGCUGGUUCGAAUCCAGCCCCCUCCACCA